rnacentral:antisense_RNA from 28 species
CGGCGCUUGAGGCUUUCUGCCUCAUGACGUGAAGGUGGUUUGUUACCGUGUUGUGUGGCAGAAGGCAGAAAGCCCCGUAGUUAAUUUUUCAUUAACCCACGAGGCCCCCUGUAUGUCUGAUCAACAACAGUAUGGCCUCUUACCGUGCUUAAUGCAAGGAGGAGUAAACCAUG